rnacentral:rRNA from 1 species
ACAGGAUUAGAUACCCUGGUAGUCCACGCUGUAAACGAUGUCGACUUGGAGGUUGUGCCCUUGAGGCGUGGCUUCCGGAGCUAACGCGUUAAGUCGACCGCCUGGGGAGUACGGCCGCAAGGUUAAAACUCAAAUGAAUUGACGGGGGCCCGCACAAGCGGUGGAGCAUGUGGUUUAAUUCGAUGCAACGCGAAGAACCUUACCUACUCUUGACAUCCACGGAAUUCGCCAGAGAUGGCUUGGUGCCUUCGGGAACCGUGAGACAGGUGCUGCAUGGCUGUCGUCAGCUCGUGUUGUGAAAUGUUGGGUUAAGUCCCGCAACGAGCGCAACCCUUAUCCUUUGUUGCCAGCACGUAAUGGUGGGAACUCAAAGGAGACUGCCGGUGAUAAACCGGAGGAAGGUGGGGAUGACGUCAAGUCAUCAUGGCCCUUACGAGUAGGGCUACACACGUGCUACAAUGGCAUAUACAAAGAGAAGCGAACUCGCGAGAGCAAGCGGACCUCAUAAAGUAUGUCGUAGUCCGGAUUGGAGUCUGCAACUCGACUCCAUGAAGUCGGAAUCGCUAGUAAUCGUAGAUCAGAAUGCUACGGUGAAUACGUUCCCGGGCCUUGUACACACCGCCCGUCACACCAUGGGAGUGGGUUGCAAAAGAAGUAGGUAGCUUAACCUUCGGGAGGGCGCUUACCACUUUGUGAUUCAUGACUGGGGUGAAGUCGUAACAAGGUAACC